AUGGGGACGUGGGCCACUGCCAUGAGCUCGUUGUCCCCACAUGGCAUCACAGUAACGAGAUCGGCACCAGAUCCCAAAUGUCCUCAUGGUCAUCCCGCGGUCACCCUAUGGUCACCCCACUGCCAUCCCACGGCCACCCCACAGUCAUGGUUUUCCCAUGAACAUUGUGUCCCCACGGUCACCCCAUGGCACCAUUUCCCUGUGGCCACCCUAAAGAUUCCCCACAGUCACGAUCUCCCCAUGGCCACCCCAUUGCCACCCUAUGGGUGCAGCAGUGAGGAUGGAUUCUUUUCCUCCAUGGGUACACAGAGGGUGCAGCCCCACAGCUCGAGCCAGGAGCAGGUGAGCACUAAUCCCCGGGAAUGCCCCGUCCUGGCCGGGCUCCAGCACUCAGAUAAAGGGGAACAGACCGCAUUCCAACACGGGAACGCAGCGCUGAUCCCACAACAGCACACAGCCCCCAGGAGGGGAAUCGCAGUGCAAAUGAGGGUGACGAAAAUGGGGACCCCAUUUGUUGUCCCUGGGAGCACUUCGCCCACAGAGCCCGAUGGCACCCAGCUCUGCCCGUUGGGUCCCUGCGGCCGCGUGUGGCAGGCGGCCAACUCUGCUCAUGCAGAUACGGAGCACAAAGGGCCCUUUGUGGGCACCGCAACCCACAGAGCUGUUGUGCAACGGGCUGGCAGCGCCGGGAGGGGAAGGCCAUCGGCACCGCACGUCCCAGCCCGAGGCACAGGAACGGGGACAGCGGGAUCCGAGCACAAAAAUAUCUCUUUUUCCGCCCGUUUUCUGGGCUUCAGGCUCUCUGCACCAAAGGCUCUGCUCCACCUGCAGCACCGAUUGCUCAAUAGGAACAAAGUCUGCAUGGCAGCGCCCUGCCUGCAACCCCGACCAACACCGGGGCUGCGCAAGGAUCCGAAACCCGAAACCAGGAGCGCGUCACGGGGCUGCGUCCGCCCCACACCCCAGGGACGUCACCUCAGGUUAAUCAUCAACCGGGCCACCGACGGCCCCGUCCCAAUCCCUGCCCCGCUGCGGCGGGCAUGCAGCCCUAAAACCAAACAGUUGUUGAGGAAAGCCGUCCUGGGAUGA
rnacentral:lncRNA from 1 species